AUGGACCAUAAUGAAAAUAAUAUAAAGACUUCAGAUCUUCACUUGAUAGAAAAAUUUAAAUUUAAAAGUUUUACGUUUUUCUUUCUCGUCCAGCAAAUGAAAUUCUGCAACAAAAGUCCAAUAAAAGGAUGAAUCACUGACAGACAGUAGAAAAUCUCCUUUACUCUCAGUCCAAACUGCAGCCAGAGUCCAUGAGGUAAAAACUCCAACAGGACUGAGGAUACAGUGUUAAACAAACCAGAGACAGUUUGUGGUUUUACAUCUGAAUUAAAAGUGUUUAUUACAUGUGGUCUAAAUUAAUAUUUGAACCUGUCAACUUAAAGUUUAAGUCAAAUAGUAUAUUGUGACUCAGAGUAAACACAGUGAAUAUGACAUGAAGUUAAUUCAGUUUUAUCCUUCUGACUGUAAUAAUGUGUUUGAUUGUAUGUUUACUUCACUGCAGCCUCUGACAGAUUUGAUCGACGUGUAAUGUCGUUUGCAGUGGACCUCACCCUUCUCCCUAAGACAGCUUCUUAUGCUUUCUGGUUCUGAACAAUUAGUGGUGAGUUAUUUCUCAGGUACCCGUUGUUACUGGAGCUCAGGCUCAUAGCUGCCAUAGUUUGCUUAUGCAUCAUGAUCUGGCACUGGCUCAGCAGUUACUGUCUAAUAUUUGUUCAUGAGCUUUUUAUCUCCCUGUUUGUGCUUGUGGAUUAAAAAUACAGCUUAUGCUGCUGAAAAGUGACCAUACCGUCAACAUGUGUGAUUAAAAACCUUUAAUAACACGUCGAUGUGCUUCAGCCACUUCAAUGAGCCUCAGUUGUGACAAGAAAACAAACUUUCACUCUUUUUAAAAACAACAUAUUGACUGACAGAGAAGACAAAUCUUUGAUCACUUGUUUUGUUCUAAUCAUUAUUAUAUAUGUAUGAAAGACACAUGAAAUAAACCCAUAUAGAAUGAUCAGACGACUCCUCAGUUCCCCUCAGAACCUCUGCAGAGCCUUUUAGCACCUUUCAGCUCAUUGCUCAGCUUUUCUGCAGCUUUGGUGGUUUUGCUUCUUAUCAGUUUGAUUUCCAACCACAGAGGCUGCAAAAACACAGAUAAAUCCACUGAUGGUGCAGCUAAAGAGCCAGAUAUUUCCCCCAGCGAGUGGAGGAGACCAAAGUUUAGCUAAAAUAUUGGAUUUACAGUCACCAGAUGGAAACAAACACAAAUCAAAAUCAAUGCUAAUGUUCUUCUUUAACUACAGGAUGUGUAAAUAACUGUUUGCUUACAUCAGCCUAUCAAAUUUAUGAGGUGAUAAUAAAUAAAUGUUGUGUUCACUGCUUGUUAUGCUGCUUUCAAGUGUCCAGAAAAUUAAUUUUAUGUGGAUUUUAGACAAAAUAACAACAAAUAAAACGAAUAAAAUAAUAACAUUUCUUUCGUGAGAAGCUGUUGUAACUCAGAGGUGAAGAAAUCAAUGCACAGAUGCAUUAAUAUAACUGCACUUUAGUUACCUUAAAGUUAAAAUACAGUUCAGCCUCUGUGUUCUCAUGCAGCCACUUCAGCGUUCACUUGAAGGCUAUAUAAGGGUUUUUGAUUGUGCUGCUGCCUGAGCUGUAAACAGAGCCCCACCUCUUCCUGUUGAAGUGUACUUGGGUUUAGCAUCAGUGAGUAUACGUUAGGGCCUCCGCAGCCAAGGGCCCUGGAGCCAUGCACUGCUGCCGCCAUGAGAGGCCUCCACCUGCCCAUCACAGUGCCGUGUGGAGACGCAAACGGUGGCUGGAGGCUGUGGCAGCUGCACAGGAGAGCAGGGCUGCAGCCAAGGCAAAUGAAGGGCUCUUCACUUUGCGUCUCACAUAUACUCCUGACUGUGCCAGAGAGAAACGGCUCUCUCCAAACAAAGACAAACAAAUGAGACAUUUGAAUUUGAACACUCCACUUUAACCAUUUGGUGGCUGCAGGUAGACAGGUGGCAGGUGAUAGGCACUGAUAGAAGAUAAGAAGCUCUUUAACAGAAGCCGAGACACAGAAGGACAAAGAUCAUGCUUUGUGCUUUGUAUUGUGUAUUAAUGAACAGACAACUGGCAAAAAAAAAAAAAGAGGAAAAAAAAGGAAAAUUUCACCCUUUUAUUUGAAUGAACUCAGACAUAGAAAAGAUACAAAAACCAGAACAUCUUUUGUCAUCUGUUUUAACUUUUAAUCAUUUAAUCAUUAACACAUGCUUUCAAGCUGAGCACUUUAUUAGGAACACCUGAACACCUGCUUAUUAAUGCAAUUAUCCAAUCAACCAAUCAUGUGGCAGCAGUUCACUGCAGAGACAGGUCAGGAGCAGGUCAGGAGCUUCAUGUUCACAUCAGAAAUGUGGCCUCACAGCAACAAGGUUCUGGGUUUGAACCCUGGUUCACCUGAAUGUGAGUGUGAAUGGUUGUUGUCUCUAUAUGUCAGCCCUGUGAUAGACUGGUACCCUGCCUCUCGGCUUUAGGAUGAGAGGUAUAGAUGAUGGAUGGAUGUAGUUUGACACUAAAGACGUCUCCAUCUUAUGGUAAGGAUGUUUUUGACGGUAAAUUCAGUCUGUUACUGGUUGUUAAUGAUGUUACCAACAACUCACCCUUGAGAAACCUCUAAAGUCACAUGCUAAGAUUUUUUUUAAUUUAAAGAAUGAGCGCUGAGAAUCUCUUAAUCCAGAUAUUUAGUUUAUUCUCAGAUUCCAGUUUACAGACGACUAACUUUGAAAUAUCAGAAAUGAAAAUGACAACUAAAGUUUUUGUGUGUUACUUUACAUUUAGGAUGAAGCUGUUCAUUUCUGUUUUUGAGUUUGUGUUAACUGCUGCUUGUGUGUGUGUGUGUGUGUGUGUGUGUGUGUGUGUGUGUGUGUGUGUGUGUGUGUGUGUGUGUGUGUGUGUGUGAGAGAUGUCGUCUUGUUUGCAUUAGCAGCUGCAGGGGCCUGGUGAAGAUGCAAAGUCCAUGACGGUUGACUUGCUCCAGACCCAGGCCAGUUUACAUAACUGAAGCACUACACUGCCCAGGAAACCUGCCGUUAAAUCACAGGAAGAGGUGAUGAAGAGAAGAGUGAUGAGGAGGUGAACCCAAGUCAGCCAGAACCAGCUUCUCAGAGACGGGUCCAAUGGUCCAGCAGCUGGCUGCUGGCAGGCUGAGGCCUGAAAGCUGCAGCUACACAGAUAGAGUGACAGACAGUUUGUUCCUUCAUCAUACACAGAUUCAGAGCCAGAGAGACAGAGACCGUCACAGGUGGUGAUGGUGUGAAUCCAGAGCUGGCGUCAGACCCUCAGAGACCCUCAUGUUAUCAGAGAGGUCAGUCCAUGUCGGAGGCAUGGCAUCUAUGAGAGGAGAGGAUGAAAUCCAGAGACCAUCAACAAAGACACACAGAUGGUGCUGAGGCCUUGCUGGAUUUCCAUGAGUCAGCUGAGAACCCAGCGCCACUGAGAUGUUACACAUUGACAAGGUUUACUCGUUCAGCUGCUGCAGCCUGGACAGAAACACCAGCUCUACCUUACAAACCAAACAGGUGUCACCACUUCGUCCAUGAUCACAGAGUGUCUUCGUAUGAUGAACUUGUUCUUUGAAAUCAGGAAUGAAGCGUCCAGAAUUCAAACUUGAACCAUUAAAUCACAGAGAGAAGAGAUGUGAAGACAUUUCCAGAAGGUCUUCAGCUGCUGUUGUCUUCUCCUCCUGCAGAGACAAGAACACGUGUUAAUCACAGAAACUGAUCAGUAAACCAAAAUAUUUUUUAUGACAUAGUACUCUGACAUUUUUUGAUGUUUUUAUGCCUUACUAUUACUGUGAUGAUUUCUGUCAGUUUUUGACACCUUACUGUACUGUGACAUGCACCUUAAGACAAAGGAAAAUAGCCAUCUUACCUUUGUAUUCCACAGACACAGGUUAGAUUUUCAUUUUGGUAUUUUGCUAUUUCAAACAGUACAAUAUCACUACCCAGAUCCAAUCAUUUACUGUAUACAUAGUCCUGUUUAUACUGUGUAUAAGUUUUACAUAUUGUUAUACAUCUUGUCUUGUAUAAUGCGGUUUUCUAUUUUUGCUGUUGCAACACUGAAUUUCCCAGUUGUGGGACUGAUGGAUUGUUUAACUCAAAUAAAUACUUCU